AGACUACAACUCCGCCUAGAUGAGACACCAGUCCAUUGAAGCUUACUUCCUCAGCCAAGGCCAGUACCCAUUUACAGUUGGGCAGACUGGGACAAUGCAGAUGAAUUGUCUUGUCCAAGGUCACAUGUAGCUAACUCCUUUAUUAAAAAAAAAAAGACUGUUGGACCAGGGGACCAGCGUUAAUGUCUACCCCUACCUCAAUGACCUUCUAAGGUGAAAGUAGCUGGUAAUAUAUUAAAUUACACUUCAUAUUCAAGUAUUCAAAUACGAUCGCACAAUUAAGCAGUUAUUGAAAGCAUGCAGAUUACUGUGUACAAAAGUAAAAAAAAUAAAUGUUUAAUUCUGAAGACGACACAAAUGUCAUGCAUAUGUUUGCUGUCAACCUUGAACGCAUCACAGUCAGAGUCUUCAGCAGCCAAUCACAACCACGGCUGGCCAUCGCAUUAGCCAAACGCUUUUUGUUUUUGUAGCCAACUACGGCUACAUGGUUGUUAAUAAUUAUCCGUUCAACAAAACUGAAAGGUGAAAUACUUGUAUAUUAGAGGUACAACUCUAUGACGGUGUUCAAUCAAAGGAAGGAAAGUGUCUGAAUCAUGUUUUAAGGGCUAACAGUGGAAAAGACGAACUCCAUGACCCUGUUGAUUCUUACGGACAUGUUACACGCAUUCCCUCGUUGGUACUAUUUAUGUAAAGCAAUGUUUUGGAAUACUGUU